GGAGUGGUAGCGAAGCGGCCAAACGCAGCAGGCUGUAAACCUGCCGGCUUAUGCCUUCGGAGGUUCGAAUCCUCCCCGCUCCACCA
rnacentral:tRNA from 2 species